GGGGCGGACGGGAGGACCGGAGGACCGAGGACAGAAAGAUUGGUGGACAGGAGCAGCGGCCGGUGGGGAGGGCGCUCGGCGGCGGCCUGCGGCCAUGGCCACCGUGAUGGCAGCGACGGCGGCGGAGCGGGCGGUGCUGGUAAGGCGCGCGGGCCAGCGGGCGGGCCGGCGGGGCGGCGGGGCCGGGCGCGACCGCCGGGUCUGUCCCGCAGGAGGAGGAGUUCCGCUGGCUGCUGCACGACGAGGUGCACGCUGUGUUGAAGCAGCUGCAGGACAUCCUCAAGGAGGCCUCUCUGCGCUUCACUCUGCCGGGCUCCGGCACUGAGGGGCCCGCCAAGCAAGAGAACUUCAUCCUAGGCAGCUGUGGGUGAGCCUGGGCUAGGCGGAAACCGGGGAAAUGGGUACCUUGGGGGGUAGGAGGCAUGGCCAUAGCCCUGUCCUGCAGACCAGCUGGUUGUGCGAUGGGACAGGAGGGGCAGCCCGCCGGGAGGGAGGGCUGGGUGGUGGGGGGGUGACCACAGGCACCGCUCUGACGCC
rnacentral:lncRNA from 1 species